AGCCUCGGAGAAGCAGAGAGGGUCGUGGGAGAGGGAGAGAGAGUGCUGUGGAGGGAGAGAAUUGCAGAGUGUGAGGAAAGUAGUGCGAUCGUCUGUAGAGAGAGAAGAGAGAGGAAAUCAACGAAUCUUAAAGUUCGUUUCCGAAGACGUGAAUCAGUUUCAGUGAAGCAGUACUCGGAUGCAAGAUCUACCGAUCGAAGACCUCGUCCAGGGAAUUGCUAUAACUAGGUAACGCGAUUUUUUUUUUUUUUUUUUUAUCUGAACGAGAAAAGAGCCUCGGAGGAGCAGAGAGGGCCGUGGGAGAGGGAAAGAGCGUGCUGUGGAGGGAGAAAAUUGCAGAGAGUGAGAGGAAAGUAGUGCGAUCGUCUGUAGAGAGAGAGGAAAUACGAAUCUGAAAGUCCGUUUCCGAAGACGUGAAUUAGAAUCAGUGAAACAGUACUUGGAUGCAGGAUCUACGGAUCGAAGACCUCGUCCAGGGAAUUGCUUUAUCUAGGUAGUGCGAUCGUCCUUUUUUAUUUUUUUAUCUGAAGGAGAAAAGAGCCUCGGAUGGUUGGCUCACUCUUGCAUCUGUGAUCUGUGAGUUGUUUCAUAAGAUACUUGCCUCCUCAUUCUUGCCUUAUUCUCUUCAUCUGAUUCAUUUUAUUUGGAGUUUGUUAAUGUUGUUACGCAGGUGAAAGUUGUUCUACUUUCAAAGCUAAGUACAAGUUUCCCCUUAUUUCUAUGCUGGCCACGAAAGAAUGUAUAUUUCAAAGACCUUCUUGGUGUGAUUGCAUCUUUAACUGAUACACCUUUGGCAUGUGGUGACGUAAUGUGUAAACUGGAUUUUUGCUUUUUCUUGUGGGGUGGAAUUUUUUUUCCCUGAAAUAUUAGGUUUCAAAUGUUUUCCAUGCCUUUAAUUUUUGUUCCUUCCUGAGUCUGUUUCAUUUGAAGUCUUGAACAAUGCAUGUCUCCUAGACAAGCUUAUAAAAUCUGUCUAUCAUGUUACUUUCCUGUUUUUCAGUAUUUCACAAGCCAUUUCAUUUCUCAAAGUUUGUUAUAAUUGAAACCAGGGAAAUACUGUUAUUACAGUGUAGCUUAUCAGGGGAUACUUUUGUUAUUACAGUGUAACAUUUUGCAUUUUUGCUUGCCUUUUAGGUAUAUUUUCUUUCAGUGGUCAUUGUUAAUACAUUUUUUAUUAAUAUUUUCUUCACUUUUCGUAGAUCUUGUGCAGAUAAUAGUUGCAACCCUGGUAGGUUAUUUGAUCAUAUUGAGAACAAAUCUGGCUUCUCCAUUCGCUAAAUAGGAAUGAAAAUGCUUGUACUUGAUGAAGCUACCCACUAUUAGAUUUAGGAUUUUGGAAAGAUAUAGAGAAGCUUGUUGAUUGCAUACCAUGUCAAAGGCAGUCCUUGCUGUGUUCUGCUACUCUUCCAAAAUAGGUUAAUUUGUUGAAUUCCCCUUUCAAGUUUCCUUCAUUCAAAGUCAAUUUUUUUUACUUUCUGUAAACAAUAAAUAGGAACAUGUGUUUUUUAUUGAUACGGUGGGUCAUGGUGGUGUGGAAACUGAUGACAAGGUAUGAGUCUUCAAUACUGAAACUUUGGUGGUGGAGAAACUCAUAUCAAGGUAUGAGUCUUCAAUACUGAUUUUUGGUUUCCGGUUGCCUAAUAUAUCAAAUUGUCAAAAAAAGUGCCACCUUUUGAAUUUUGUUUCAUUAAAUCAAUAAAUUUAUUGAAAGAAGAAAACUGAAUUCAACCAAGUGUGUUCAGUGGAUUGCCUCAUAAGAUUCAUGAAUGUUUCAUGUUUGGUUUCAUCUGAAAUGUUCUAUCAAAUAAGCUUCGUUGUUCUAUUUGUCAUUGUUCUAUUGAUACCGUUCACUGUGUAGGACCUGGUGACCUGGUCUUGAAAAUUUCGAGAGCUAUGUUUUGUAUCAUUUGCACUGAUAUGGAUGAAUAUCAUUGUUCUAACAGUGGCAAGCUGCUCUCACCCUGGGUUCGACUUACAUAAUGUCGUUUAUGUGUUGCACACUGUUAUUUUUAUAGAAAGAGAAUUGGGAGCCUUACUCUCGCAUACCUUUUAGAUUGCUGAGUGCAGGUUAAACAAUUAUAUUUGGUUGCACCUCAUGAACUCCAUUUUCAAAUAGUUCACCAGCUUUUGAUGGAGCAUAUCACACACAUGCUCGAUUACAGGGUUGAGAUGCUAUUGAUUACUUACUUUAAUUUGAUAACUAAUUUUUUUUUCUUGGUCUAAUUGUUCCACAUUAGGAUUUUCUUUGGUAAGGUUGGGAUGGUCUGAAGAUUGAUCUAAGGCCGCAUUAUAAAGGGCAUGAAGGCAAUGAUUGGGAAGGCAUUCUAUUGCUCGCACCAUGGGAAGAACAUUUCUUAGAUGAAAUAAAAGAUCUGACAAUUAAGAAGUUGAAUUUAUCACAAGUAUAUUUAGAUAUAAAACUGAAGGUUUCUCUCUUUCUCAUUCAUUCAUUAAAAAUUGAAAUUAUGCAUGUGGAAAAUUUAAUUGCCUUUAUAUUAUUUGCUUUUUUAGAUUAAGUGUGUAUUGAAGAAAAAGGGUUAUUUGGUAUAAAAAUUGGGUGUGGUUUUGAUGGUUAAAGCGGUGCAACAUUUUUCUGGGAUAUUAUUUUUGAAAAACAUGGGCACCCAACUCUCUAAUGUCUUAUUGAAUCCAACUGACACACUCGCCCCUUUGGUUGAACCUACCCUUAUCUAUAAUAAAUUAGAGUACUGAAUCAAAAUUUUUGUAGAUUUUUUUCGUCAGGAAAUUAGGAAUGCUGCCUAACCUCUAAACCAAUGAAUGAGUGGUAAACAGAUUCCUUGUUCGAAUUACAUGUGAGGGAGAAGGCACUGAACUUUACACCCUGGUUUAUCUGACUAGUAUCCAUCUUCUUGUAAGCGAUUUCCCUAUCAUGAAUUUUGCACUUCAAAAGGAUUUGAUUCUCUUUUGAUGAAGUUGCCAAAAUUUUCCCCCUUAUAUUUUCACUUCUAUAUAAUCUUUUUGGUUUCUUGUUCUUCUUGGAUAAAUAUUUCUUAUUCAUUGUGCUCGUUUCAGAUGGUAGGCUAAUGUAGUUAGUUUUCAAUGUUGGUCUUGGUGGUGUGGAAACUCAUGACAAGUUAUGAGUCUUCAAUACUAAUAUCUUGGUGGUAUGGAAACUCAUAACAAGGUAUGAGUCUUCAACAUUGAUUUUCGGUUUUUGGUUGCUAUAUUUAUCAAUUUCUCAGCUAGUACCACCUUAUGAAUUUUGUUUCAUUAAACCAAUAAAUUUAUUGACAGAAGAAAAUUGAGUUCAACCAAGUGUCAGUAGUGGAUUUCCUCGUUAAUUUCAUGAAUGUUUCCCAUGUAGGACCUCGUUACCUGGCCUUGAAAAUUUUGAGAGGUGUGUUUUGGACUCUUUGCACUGAUAUGGAUGAAUAUCAUUUUUCUAACAGUGGCAGGCUGCUUACACCCUGGGAUCUACUUACAAAAUGCCUUUUGUGCUUUGCACACAACUCUUUUUGUAGAAAGAGAAUUGGGAGCCUAACUCUCGUAUACCUUUUGGAUUACCGAGUGUUAUUGUUUUCUGCACAACUGCAAUGGUGACAUAACUUAUGUUCUUCCUUCUUCGAGAGUUAAAAAUGAAUGUCAGAAAAAUGUGUUCAAGAAAGCCUCAACAUUAUGGUAGCUUAAAACUUGGCGUGCUCAUUAGCUCUACUGCAUUUUUUUCGAUGAUCUAGAUGGAUUGUGUGAUAGUACUUCACUAUUGACACUUAAAGGGCAUAAGCAUUGGUAGAAGCAUGCACCAUACUCAUUGGCCAUAGAAGAUGGUAGGCAAAUGUAGUUAGUUUUAAAUGUUGGUGGGCGCCCGUGGGCCAGACAGGGUAUCUUGUCUGCAAAUGGCUGAGGCCUGAGGUUGUUGCAAAUAUCAGAGGAUACAACACCUCAUUUAUUAAACUUGUUUUUGCAUCAUCAAUCUUUUGCAGAUUAUAGUUGCAACCCCUGGUAGGUUAUUGGAUCAUAUUGAGAACAAAGAUGGCUUCUCCGUUCGCUUGAUGGGCCUAAAAAUGCUUGUACUCGAUGAAGCUGACCACUUAUUAGAUUUAGGAUUUCGGAUUGAUAAACAGAAGCUUGUUGAUUGCAUACCACGUCAAAGGCAGUCCUCGCUUUUUUCUACUACUCUUCCAAAAGAGAUUGAUUUUUUGAAUUCCCCGUUCAGCUUGUUUUGAAAAGGGAACAUGAUUUUAUCGAUAUGGUGGGUCUUGGUGGUGUUGAAACUCAUGACAAGUCAUCUUGGGAGGAUCAAGACACAAACAAGACAUAUAGUUGUAUCGACUUGCACUUUCUUUCUUAUUACCCAGUUGCAUUGGGUUGACUUUCGAAUUUAAGUACAAGUUUCCCUUUUAUUUUAUGCCACCGCGGAGAAUUUUUUUCCCUUAAAUAUUCGGUUACCUUUUCACAUAGGGGCUAUAAGCCAGGUGAAGGAGGUGAACUUCCAAGCCACAAAGUUAUAGGAGAUAUGGUAGUCACUAGAAACUCCACCGCUGUUGUGGGACUUAUCAGUCCCCCUCCACAUCAUGAUAUCUACUCUAUUGAAGAUCUUGCCUAAUUAAUUCACGAUCUUAAGAACUCUAAUCCAGGAGCUCGAAUAAGUGUGAAACUUGUAUCUGUAGCUGGGAAAGGAGUUAUUGCUAGUGGGGUAGUGAAAGGCCAUGCGACCCAUGAUUUGAUCUCUAGUCAUGAUAGAGGGACAGGAGAUUCACCUUGAACUGGUAUCAAAAAUGCUGGGCUAUGGGAGCUUGAUUUGGCUCUUCAGACAUUAUUUGCAAAUGACCUUCAGGGUUCAGCUACUCUACAGACAGAUGGUCAACUUAAAACUGGAAGGGAUGUGUAUCAUUGCAGCACUUCUUAGUGCAGAAGAGUUCGGCUUUAGCACUGCUCCUUUAAUAAUCCUCGGCUACAUCAUGAUGCGUAAAUGCCACAAGAACACAUGCCCUGUUGGUAUUGCUACACAAGAUCCUAUUCUUUGUGAGAAUUUUGCGGGGGAGCCUUAACAUGUCAUAAUUUUCUUUCCAAAAAAGGAAAAGAAAGAAAUCAAUGUUUGAGUCAUAUCUGAGGCGACGAUUUGAAAGACUGAUUGUUGUUAUAGAAACUAUGGAGAAAGAGGAUCUUGAUCUUUCACCUUGGGAGGGUCCAGACACAAACAAGACAUAUAGUUGAACCGAUCUGUACUUUCUUUCUCUUACCCAGUUGCGUCGGGUCUACUUUCAAAUCUAAGUACAAGUUUCCUCCUUAUUUCAAUGCCGUCACAAAGGUUUGUAUAUUUCAAAACAGGGGAUAUAGAAAGAAAACCAAAAAUUUGGUGUAAAUGGAGGAAAAUGAAAAGCAAGAAGUCACGUACAAUGGACUGUUAGACGAUAUAUAUUUUUUUCUCCUUUUGUUAAUUAAAUUCACUUUCCAAUAACCCAUGCCUACUUGUUAAUGUUGCAGGGAAUGAUAGAAAUAGAUGUUGAGGCAUAUCUGAGGCGACAAUAUGAAAGACAUAUUGCUGAUGUAGCAAUUAUGGAGAAAGACGAUCUUGAUAUUGUGAACGUUCAUGCCGAGGAACUGAACUCGUGGCGUGCAGCCCUAACAAGUUGAGUCUAAUCCAUGAUGAGGCAGUGCUGAUAAAUCAUCUAAUUAAUUAAGAGGUGAUUGGCAGAACCAACCAGAUGAAUGGGUUGUUUGCUGUUUCUUCCAGAAGAGUGCUGGAGUGAAGAAGUACCCUUCCAACCCAACAAGAAAUAAUCCAUAUAACCUUGAAAUGGGUCCAAGUGUCAUGCCACAAUUCAUGCCAACUGACAUGUAUCACUUCCCUAUUGGAAGAAACUAGCAGGCAUAGAGUCGAUCUUUAGCACUGAAAUAGUGAAAGUAGAUGUAGCUUCCAAGACUCUUACUAGUGCAGCUGGAGCAAACUCUAAGUGACUUUUUGAUACUUGGAACUGGCUAUUUAGACAUUAGGUUGUCUGGUUUUGGUGUUCAAGGAGCUGAUGCACAUUUUCUGUUUGGGAGAAACUGAUGAUGCUGACAAGCUUAUAGAAGCAAUUAAGGCGAAGAAGGAUGGAAAGGCUGUGAGUGUUGGAGGGGGAUACAUUGGUCUAGAGCUUGGUGUUGUAAUGAGGAUCAUCAAUUUUUUAUGUUACUGUGGUGUAUCUUGAGCCAUGGUGUAGUGAAUGCUGUCAAACUGAGAGAUGGGAGGGUACUGGAUGCUGACAUUGUUGUGGUGGUGUUGGGGAAGACCCCUCACCGCAUUGUUCAAAUGAUAGGUUGAGAAGGAGAGGUGGAAUUAAGAUUCAGGCUAUCCAUCUUAUAGGGGAGGUCUUGAUAAUUCAUAUCUGUUUCACAAUCUGUAUAAAGGAGAGUCUGAAAUCAUAAGUACUGUAAGAUCAAUCUCAUUCUUUCUUUCCAAGGAUGAAUUGUACAUCAUUAUCAUUCAUUCUCAUAAUUUAGAGGGAAAAAAAAAGUCAAUUUAAAGUCCAACCUUAGAUCUAACAAAUCUUGGAUUUGUACAUCAUUAUCAUGUUUGAGAAUGACAUAUCACAGGUUUUGCUGA